rnacentral:rRNA from 1 species
AACUUAAGCAUAUCAAUAAGCGGAGGAAAAGAAACCAACAGGGAUUGCCCUAGUAACGGCGAGUGAAGCGGCAACAGCUCAAAUUUGAAAUCUGGCCCCUUUGGAGCCCGAGUUGUAAUUUGUAGAGGGUGCUUUGGCGUUGGUUGUGGUCUAAGUUCCUUGGAACAGGACGUCACAGAGGGUGAGAAUCCCGUACGUGGCCGCCAGCCUUCGCCGUGUAAAGCCCCUUCGAUGAGUCGAGUUGUUUGGGAAUGCAGCUCUAAAUGGGAGGUAAAUUUCUUCUAAAGCUAAAUAUUUGCCAGAGACCGAUAGCGCACAAGUAGAGUGAUCGAAAGAUGAAAAGCACUUUGGAAAGAGAGUCAAAAAGCACGUGAAAUUGUUGAAAGGGAAGCGCUUGCAGCUAGACGUGCCUUUGGUUGAUCAGCCGGGCUUUUGCCCGGUGCACUCUUCCUUUGGCAGGCCAGCAUCAGUUUGGGCGGCUGGAUAAAGGUCUGUUAAACGUGACUUCCUUCGGGGAGAGCUUAUAGGGCAGACGACAUGCAGCCAGCCUGAACUGAGGUCCGCGCAUCUGCUAGGAUGCUGGCGUAAUAGCUGUAAGCGGCCCGUCUUGAAACACGGACCAAGGAGUCUAACAUCUAUGCGAGUGUUUGGGUGUCAAGCCCGAGCGCGUAAUGAAAGUAAACGGAGGUGGGAACCCUUUGGGUGCACCAUCGACCGAUCUUGAUGUCUUCGGAUGGAUUUGAGUAAGAGCAUAGCUGUUGGGACCCGAAAGAUGGUGAACUAUGCCUGAAUAGGGUGAAGCCAGAGGAAACUCUGGUGGAGGCUCGCAGCGGUUCUGACGUGCAAAUCGAUCGUCAAAUUUGGGCAUAGGGGCGAAAGACUAAUCGAACUAUCUAGUAGCUGGUUCCUGCCGAAGUUUCCCUCAGGAUAGCAGUAACGUUUUCAGUUUUAUGAGGUAAAGCGAAUGAUUAGAGGCCUGGGGGUUGAAACAACCUUCACCUAUUCUCAAACUUUAAAUAUGUAAGAAGUCCUUGUUACUUAGUUGAACGUGGACAUUUGAAUGUAUCGUUACUAGUGGGCCAUUUUUG